rnacentral:rRNA from 1 species
GACGAACGCUGGCGGCGUGCUUAACACAUGCAAGUCGAACGGAAAGGCCCUGCUUUUGUGGGGUGCUCGAGUGGCGAACGGGUGAGUAACACGUGAGUAACCUGCCCUUGACUUUGGGAUAACUUCAGGAAACUGGGGCUAAUACCGGAUAGGAGCUCCUGCUGCAUGGUGGGGGUUGGAAAGUUUCGGCGGUUGGGGAUGGACUCGCGGCUUAUCAGCUUGUUGGUGGGGUAGUGGCUUACCAAGGCUUUGACGGGUAGCCGGCCUGAGAGGGUAACCGGCCACAUUGGGACUGAGAUACGGCGCAGACUCCUACGGGAGGCAGCAGUGGGGAAUAUUGCACAAUGGGCGGAAGCCUGAUGCAGCAACGCCGCGUGCGGGAUGACGGCCUUCGGGUUGUAAACCGCUUUCGCCUGUGACGAAGCGUGAGUGACGGUAAUGGGUAAAGAAGCACCGGCUAACUACGUG